GAACGCUGGCGGCGUGCUUAACACAUGCAAGUCGAACGAUGAACCGGUUUCGGCCGGGGAUUAGUGGCGAACGGGUGAGUAACACGUGGGCAAUCUGCCCUGCACUCUGGGACAAGCCCUGGAAACGGGGUCUAAUACCGGAUACAACCACUGACCGCAUGGUCCGGUGGUGGAAAGCUCCGGCGGUGCAGGAUGAGCCCGCGGCCUAUCAGCUUGUUGGUGAGGUAGUGGCUCACCAAGGCGACGACGGGUAGCCGGCCUGAGAGGGCGACCGGCCACACUGGGACUGAGACACGGCCCAGACUCCUACGGGAGGCAGCAGUGGGGAAUAUUGCACAAUGGGCGAAAGCCUGAUGCAGCGACGCCGCGUGAGGGAUGACGGCCUUCGGGUUGUAAACCUCUUUCAGCAGGGAAGAAGCGAGAGUGACGGUACCUGCAGAAGAAGCGCCGGCUAACUACGUGCCAGCAGCCGCGGUAAUACGUAGGGCGCAAGCGUUGUCCGGAAUUAUUGGGCGUAAAGAGCUCGUAGG
rnacentral:rRNA from 1 species